AUGUCAAGUCUUGUGAUAAAAUAAACUUCUAUUAAGAUGCUGAUUACUUUUAUAACUUUGUGAUGUAAUUUAUUUAUUUGAGUAUCUAUCAUUUGUUAAUCGAUUUUUAUAGGUAGAAGGAAUACCUACAAGAUCUCCUAUUUGUAUAGAACUAAAAAAUCAUUCAAUUUUUCAUUUGUGCCAUGACUUUUAUGGGCAAAAGAAAUACCUACAAGAUCUCCUAU
rnacentral:lncRNA from 1 species